rfam:Oryza sativa Japonica Group DNA, chromosome 1, cultivar: Nipponbare, complete sequence.
UCCCAGAGACUCCAUUUGUCGGUAUUUGGUUAUAACGUUUGACUCUUCGUCUUAUUUAAAAAAUUUCAAUGAUCAGUGUUUUUAUUGUUAUUAUACGAUAAAGCAUGAAUAAUAUUUUAUACGUGACUAAAUUUUUUGGAUUUUUUCAUAAGUUUUUCAAAUAAGAUGGACGAUCAAACGUGGGAUACAUAAAGC